ensembl:processed_transcript
AUGAGAAAGUAAUAGCUGAAAAUCAGAAUCUCCAGACUACCAUUAAAACAAUUUCUGUGGCCUUUGCUGUCUCUCUACUACUCAAUGUCUUUCUACUCCUGUCACAUUUGUGGAAUCGCAAGAGAAGAGGUUCUCAAGGGACAGCUGAAGUAAAUGAGUUGAGCCGCUUGCAUUCACCAUUGGAAAGCACAUGUCUCUGUGAUGGUCCCCCGUCUCCUUCCUGUUGAUCUUACAAAAAAAAAAAACCUGCAUGGUAUUGUACUUUUUGAACCGGCGGCUGACAAAAUCAUCCAAGUGCAGCUUAUUAAAUCAAUAUGCUCAAGUGUUUGAACACAGCUUCUGUAUAUGUCCACCUAUGAGUGCCCCUCUAUAACUGUUAUAUUCUUUUAUCUGUCAAGCACCUCUAUUCAUGUUUUUUGAUGUUGUUUGCUCUGUGAUGAUCAUGUUAGCUAUAAGAUAUGGAUUAAGAAAGGACCCUUCAGCACUCAGGAGUGACUGCACGCUAAAGACAGGUCUUUAAGAAAGGGACGGAAAACUCUUUACAGCUAAAGUACUCUACAAUUAUUGUUAUAUGUACAUUGUUUUUAAAGCAGUUAAUUUUUGUAUUAAUGUACUUUGUUUUGCUAUUUUUAUAUUUUCUUGUGUUUUUGUACAUAGCCUUUAUGUGUUUUAUUCUGGGUAUCUCAGAUUGCUUAUUAUAUUUUUAUAUUGAUGCAUUUGUGUAAAUGUGUUGUUUAUUUGCAGUUUUGUUUGUAUAAAAUCAAAAAUAUUAUUAUGUGCAUCCUAAACCCUAUUAAAUGGCACAAAAAAGUUCUCAUUAAAAAUCGAAUAGCA